UGCGGCCGUUGGAUCUAAUCGGAGAGGUAGGCAGUAACGGUGGUGGAUGUUGGUGCUGGUUAGCGCCGUCACUGCAGCUGGCUGUUCGAGCUGCUCCGCCGUCUCUGCCACCGGAGAAUGUAGCUCAGUCGCCGGAGAACUCUGUCGUUGAUCCACCAGAGCUUCUGGCCGCCGCCGGAGCUGUUGCCAGGGCCGGUUCAAAAUUGCAGCUGCUUCGUGUUGAAAUUCCGAGCUGUCUAUGCUGCUGCG